GCCUGAUAUUGUCAGUGUUUUUGUAUGGACUUGUGGCACCCCCAACCAGCCUUGCAAAUGGUUGGCUGUGUAUGGGACCAAGGAUGCAGAGGACAAGAAGGGUGUGCGAUAUAUGACUGGAA